UUGCGAACGGGUGAGUAACGCGUAGGUAACCUGCCUGGUAGCGGGGGAUAACUAUUGGAAACGAUAGCUAAUACCGCAUAACAACAGUUGUUGCAUGACAGCUGUUUAAAGAUGCAAUUGCAUCACUACCAGAUGGACCUGCGUUGUAUUAGCUAGUUGGUGAGGUAACGGCUCACCAAGGCGACGAUACAUAGCCGACCUGAGAGGGUGAUCGGCCACACUGGGACUGAGACACGGCCCAG
rnacentral:rRNA from 1 species